UACGUAGGGUGCAAGCGUUGUCCGGAAUUAUUGGGCGUAAAGAGCUCGUAGGCGGUCUGUCGCGUCUGGUGUGAAAAUCCAGGGCUUAACCCUGGACCUGCAUCGGGUACGGGCAGACUAGAGUGCGGUAGGGGAGAUCGGAAUUCCUGGUGUAGCGGUGAAAUGCGCAGAUAUCAGGAGGAACACCGGUGGCGAAGGCAGCCCCCUGGGUCAACACUGACGCUCAUGCACGAAAGCGUGGGGAGCAAACAGG
rnacentral:rRNA from 1 species